rnacentral:tRNA from 1 species
UGCAAGGUAGAGGAAUUUGUCAACUCAUCAGGCUCACAACCUAAAAAUUACAGGUUCGAAUCCUGUUCUCGCAU